rnacentral:rRNA from 1 species
AUGCUGGGCGUCCUGGUGCUCCUGCUCCUGCUGAUGCCGCUGUCGGCAACUGCAACAGCACAGCUCUGCGGCAGCGGCGGCAACUACGUGGCCAACGGCACCUACGAGUCCAACCUCGCCGCCCUCGCCUCCACCCUCCCCGCCAACGCCUCAUCCUCCCCGCAGCUCUUCGCCGUCGCCACCGCCGGCCAAUCCCCGGACGCGGUGCACGCGCUCGCGCUCUGCCGGGGCGACUUCGCCAGCGACACCGCGUGCAGGGACUGCGUCGCCGCCUCCUUCCAGCACGCGCAGCGGGCGUGCCCCAGCGACAAGGCCGCCACCGUCUACUACGAGUACGACGACGACCAGAGACCAGGCUGCGUGCUCGGCUUCUCCGGCGACGAUGGCUUCCUCAACCCAGUGGCCAGUCUCACCGGGAACGGCACUCUCUUCCAGGCGUGGAACACGGGGAACAUCUCCGGCGUCGCCGGUGUCGUCACCGCUGGCGUCCACGAGCUGCUGACCGCCACGGCCCAAGACGCGGCCGCCAACACGACGAGGCGGUACGCCACCGCGGUCAUGGAUUCUGCCCCGACGACGCUCUACUCUCUAGCGCAGUGCACGCCGGACCUGUCCGCCGGCGACUGCCAGGCGUGCCUCCAGCGGCUCAUCGGCAUGGUCAACGCCACCACGUCCGUGCGCCUGGGAGGACGGAUCUUCGUGCUGCGUUGCAACGUCAGGUUCGAGGCGUUUAUGUUCUUCGACCGGCCCAUGCGGCGGAUCAGUCCAUCGUCCAACGCUCCGGCUCCUCCCACAGGUCAUGGAACGCGGCCUUGGGUAAUUGCUAUAUGUGUAGCUGCUCCACUAGCACUGGUUGCUUUCUGCGUCAUUGUCUACUGUCGUUGCCUCAGAGGAAGAAGGAACAAAAAUGGUACAAAGAUACUACGAGAAAAUCGUAGUUACAAGUUGCAAGAAGGAGAUCAAGAACUAGUAUGGGAUAUGGAAGAAGCAUUAUCCGGCUUUACAAUUUUUGAUUUUCAUGAGAUAUUGGAAGCUACAAGUAACUUCUCCGAAGAAAAUAAACUUGGAGAAGGAGGAUUUGGCCCUGUAUAUAUGGGUCAUUUUCUUCAAGGAUUGGAGAUAGCAGUCAAGAGACUUGCUUCACAUUCAGGACAAGGUGUCUUAGAGUUCAAAAAUGAAGUUCAGCUCAUAGCCAAACUUCAACAUAGGAAUUUGGUUAGACUCUUGGGAUGUUGCUCGCAAGGAGAGGAAAAAAUAUUGGUCUAUGAAUACUUGCCAAACAAAAGUUUGGACUUCUACAUAUUUGAUGAAUGUAGAAAAGCUUUAUUGGAUUGGAACAAACGUCUUGCAAUAAUUGAAGGAAUAGCAGAAGGACUUCUUUACCUACAUAAGCACUCUUGUUUGCGUGUGAUACAUCGAGAUCUUAAACCAAGCAACAUUCUCUUGGACAAUGAAAUGAAUCCUAAAAUUUCAGAUUUCGGCCUGGCAAAAAUAUUUAGCUCAAAUAACACGGAAGAAGACACCACAAGAAGAGUGGUUGGUACAUAUGGUUACAUGGCUCCAGAGUAUGCCUCCGAGGGCCUAUUCUCCAUCAAAUCCGAUGUAUUCAGCUUUGGUGUCUUAAUUCUUGAGAUCCUUAGUGGGAAUAGGAAUUCUGCUAGCCAUCAAUGUGGAGGUUUCAUCAACCUCCUCGGAUAUGCUUGGCAGUUAUGGGAUGAGGGAAAUUGGAUUGAUAUUGUUGAUGUGUCAUUGACUCCCAAGUCUCACCCAGUAGAAAUGAUGAGGUGCAUCAACCUCGGACUACUAUGUGUGCAAGAGAAUGCGGCUGAUCGACCGAACAUGUUGGAUGUUACUGCAAUGCUAAGCAGCAAGACAAUGCUCCUGCAGGAGCCAAAGCACCCAGCAUAUUUCAACCUAAGGGUAGGUGAUGAAGAGGAUUCAUUUGCUACCCGGUCCUACAGUGUUAAUGAUAUGACCAUAUCUGUAGCAACUCCUAGAUAG